rnacentral:rRNA from 1 species
CCUACGGGAGGCAGCAGUAGGGAAUCUUCCACAAUGGACGCAAGUCUGACGGAGCAACGCCGCGUGAGUGAAGAAGGGUUUCGGCUUGUAAAGCUCUGUUGGUAGUGACGAAAGAUAGAGGUAGUAACUGGCCUUUAUUUGACGGUAAUUACUUAGAAGGUGACGGCUACCUACGUGCCAGCCGCCGCGGUAAUACGUCGGUGGCAAGCGUUGUCCGGAUUUAUUGGGCGUAAAGCGGGUGCAGGCGGGUCAAUAAGUCGUAUGUGAAAGCCAUCGGCCCAACCGGUGGAGUGCAGCAGAAACUGGUGAACUUGAGUGCAGAAGAGGAAAGUGGAACUCCUGGUGUAGCGGUGGAAUGCGUAGAUAUAUGGAAGAACACCAGUGGCGAAGGCGGCUCUCUGGUCAGCAACUGACGCUGAGGCUCGAAAGCAUGGGUAGCGAACAGGAUUAGAUACCCCAGUAGUC